GCUCCAUGGUUAAGCUCCCAUGGCACCUUGUCAUUACCCUUACUGGACCUAAAUUGCCUGUUUAUUGGCCUUCAUCCUGAUCACACUAUGUGGCAGCCAUGGGGUUGCAUCGCUUUGAUCUCCCUUCAAGAAAGAACUGGCUAUUUAGCUGCAAGGAGUGCAGUUAGCUGACAGCCUCCAGCUGUUAAUGCCUUCAAGCUCUGCCUCAGCUUUCAAGCUGAGGCCACGAUCUUUUUGGGCAGCCCCAGACAAUGACCGAGUAUAACAGUGGCACCAGGGCCAACUCAGGACUCCUUUAGCAGGAAAUCUUUGGGUCAGCUAAGACUUCAUCAGAUCUGCAUUGUAGUCUGAGGCUCUCUCUUCCUCAUCCUGCCUCCUCCCUCUUUCCUUUGACAGAUGUCAUAUCUGCUUUUUGGCAUAAAGGAUUCCCUUGUCCAAUCCCGCUUCCUCACCCUUUCACGUUCACGGCUUACUCUCCAAUAAGCCUCCUGAAAUCCUUACUUUGUCACCUACAUCUGCUUUCUGGAGAAUCUGGAUAACAUAGACAAUGAGCCCUUUAAAAGUAGGGACUACAUUCUUAUUCAAAUUUUACCUCCAGCUCCCAGAACAACACACAGUAGGAUCUCAAUAAACACCUAUGAAAGGAUUGAAUGAAUGAAUGAACACUCAAGAUAGUGUUCAACAUUGAAUGAUGUUUUGAUCUUAUAUAAUUCACAGGUGCUGGUCAACAUUCAAGAACAUUCUGAUUUGAAGACUCAGAUUUAUUUAUAAAAUGCACUUCAAGAAUGACAUAAUUGAGCAUUUUUCAAAUUCUCUUUCAGGUUCUGCCUGAGCUACUAUGAAGCAGUUGUGGGGAGUGGGUCUUCCAAUGCUCGGAAUGCUCUGGAAACUUGAAUUGAUGAUAAAAGCAGUUCAGCAUGGGACUAGUACCAAGACUCACACUAAGGAAGAAGGAGUUGGAAUAAAUUGAAAGAACACUCUGGGGUUGUGCAUUCCCCAUUGCAGAAUUGGGGACACUGCUGUAAAUGGGGAGUACUCACUGGAGAAUGAAAAACUUUGAAUGUUGCAAAGUUCUGAACCACAGGGUUCCUUUUUAUGUAGAAAUAUCUUCAUAAUGUAUAUAUCCACAGGGGAAUUGCUUGAGUAAAAUGUAGAGCAACUAUGAACACACAGAACCACUCAGUAAAACUGUAUAUAUCCAUAUGGUAAUGUAUGAAAUAUAUUGUAGAGAGAGAAUUUCAAUUGCAAACAGUAUUGUUUUAUAUGAUUUAACUUUUAUUUAAAAAUACAAAGAUAUGAAUGGAAAAAUAUUGUAAGUGUAUAUGUGGAAAUACUGACAUUGAUUAUCACUUGAUAAUGGAUAUUGGGGUAUACCAUACCCAUUAUAAUAGGAUAAUGGGUAUCUUCUCUUUGCUUAUUUAUGUUUUCUGAACUUUCUACAGUACUAUGUAACUUGUAAAAAUAUAAAUUUUCAGAACCG
rnacentral:lncRNA from 10 species